GACGUGCGCAGGCGGUUAUGUAAGACAGAUGUGAAAUCCCCGGGCUCAACCUGGGAACUGCAUUUGUGACUGCAUGGCUAGAGUACGGUAGAGGGGGGAUGGAAUUCCGCGUGUAGCAGUGAAAUGCGUAGAUAUGCGGAGGAACACCGAUGGCGAAGGCAAUCCCCUCGGACCUGUACUGACGCUCAUGCACGAAAGCGUGGGGAGCAAACAGGAUUAGAUACCCCAGU
rnacentral:rRNA from 1 species